AAUCUCUGCUGGAAGGGAAUGAGGGCGUGUAUUUGCCGCCUCCAGUGAUCCAGGCACCUUCUUCACCCCACCCAAGGAGCAGGAGGCUCCUCUAGUCCCCCCGACUCUGUUCCUUUCCCACUGCUGGGGCCUGAGUGCCGGCCUCGCCUACUCGGAGCUGCUCCAGCCUCCUCGGAGCCUCUAGUCCUUCCCACACACACUGCCAAAGAGACCUUUCUAAACCCACGCUGGGCCAUGGCUGCCCUCCCUGCUGUCUGAGGAGUGAAGCGGAAAAACAGGAAUAGGAACCACUCACCCGCCAUCCCGCGAUAACCGCUUCAUCCUCUGGAAGUACUUCCCUUCUGUGGCGAUCAUUACACUUUGCCGGGACCAUGACUCAAGUUUGUGUCUCGCUUCUUUCACUACGUGAUUUAUAAUAAACGUCUCUCCCAGGUCAUUAAAACCUCCCUGGAAGCAUC